rnacentral:rRNA from 1 species
UUGACUGUACAAAGGUAGCAUAAUCAUUAGUCUUUUAAUAGAGGGCUGGAAUGAAAGGUUUCACGAGGAAUUGACUGUCUCAUUUUAUUUGUUUUAAAAUUUAAUUUUUUAGUUAAAAAGCUAAAAUUUUAUUGGUAGACGAGAAGACCCUAUAGAGCUUUACAUAAAAUUUAAAUGAAUAUUUUUAUAUUAAUAUUUUUAUUUAUUUUUAUGUUUUGUUGGGGUGACAAAAAUAUAUAAUUAACUUUUUUAUUUAAUUUACAUUGAUUUAUGAAUAUUAGAUCCAUUUUUAUUGAUUACUAGAUUAAGUUACCUUAGGGAUAACAGCGUAAUAU